rnacentral:rRNA from 1 species
AUGGCAAACUGUAAGAAGUGGCUUCUGCUCGUUGUGGGCCUCACGGCCAUGAUUUCCUCGUCGGAGGCGUACGUCUUCUACGCCGGCGGCCGCGACGGCUGGGUCGUCGACCCCGCCGAGAGCUACAACCACUGGGCCGAGCGCAACCGGUUUCAGAUCAACGACACCAUCGUGUUUGCGCGCGGCGAGGGCGAGGGCGCGGACUCGGUGCUGCUGGUGACCGAGCCGGACUUCGACGCGUGCAACACGCGUAGCCCUGUCCGCCGGCUAGAGGACGCCGGUGGUCGCCCGGAGUUCCGGUUCGACCGGUCGGGUGCCUUCUUCUUCAUCAGCGGCGACGAGGACCGGUGCCAGAAGGGCAAGAAGUUGUACGUCGUCGUGAUGGCGCCUCGGUCCCAGGAGUGGGAGCUCGCACCGGCGCCCGGAUCGCCGCCGCUCUGGGCCUCGGCACCAGAGCACGCGGAGGCCCCGGACAUGAGCCCUGGCAACGAGGGGAUGUCGCGCAGCUCGCUGCAGGCGCCACCACCGACGGCGAGCGCGGCACGGUUGGACUUGGACGUGAUAGCCGUCGGCGUAGUCGUGGGGGUUUUAGGGGCUCUGGUGCUCUGA